GACGAACGCUGGCGGCGUGCUUAACACAUGCAAGUCGAACGGAAAGGCCCUGCUUUUGUGGGGUUCUCGAGUGGCGAACGGGUGAGUAACACGUGAGUAACCUGCCCUUGACUUUGGGAUAACUUCAGGAAACUGGGGCUAAUACCGGAUAGGAGCUCCUGCUGCAUGGUGGGGGUUGGAAAGUUUCGGCGGUCGGGGCUGGACGCGCGGCUUAUCAGCUUGUUGGUGGGGGAGUGGCUUACCAAGGCUUUGACGGGUAGCCGGCCUGAGAGGGUGACCGGCCACAAUGGGACUGAGAUACGGCCCAGACUCGUACGGGAGGCAGCAGUGGGGAAUAUUGCACAAUGGGCGGAAGCCUGAUGAAGAAACGCCGCGUGCGGGAUGACGGUCUGCGGGUUGUAAAACGCUUUCGCCUGUGACGAAGCGUGAGUGACGGUAAUGGGUAAAGAAGCACCGGCUAACUACGUG
rnacentral:rRNA from 1 species